ensembl:lncRNA
UUUUAUUAGACUAGGAAAUAUAAUUUAUUUCAUAAAAAUUAAUUUUGUUACAAUAGGAAUGCUAAAUGUUAUUUACAGGUUGUAGCACAGAAUAAACAGAGGUGGGACUGGGGCCAGCCCGGCAGCCCUCGGGCAUAUAACCAUGUCCACUGCCCAGGCGCGUGGUACAGCCCUUGGCCCGCAGGAGAGCUGCUCCCUGCACCCAGGCUCCUGGUCACCUCUCCCCAGAGGGCCUGUUAAGGGAACUGGCUCAGCUGCCUGGUUGCUGGGGGAAGGAGACCAGAGGGCCUUGGAGCUUCCAGGAGAGGGGAGGGCCCCUCUGGAGCCCAGAACCCUACGAGAGAAGGCAGAGGGAGGGGCACGUAGAAGAGACACCUACUGACCCUGUGUACUCAGAGAGGGCAGCCUCCAGGCGGCCCAGCGGACGCGAGGAGGGCACACACGCACACACGGGUGGGGGCUCGUUCCCGGAGAGGCACGCGGAUGUGCCCACAGAUAAAAGCACACGCAUACACGCACAGAUGUGCAAGCACACCCCAGAGACGAGAGAGACGUCAACACAGCACGUAGGCCCUGCAGUGAAUCUUAAUCUGUGCCUCUCAAGGUACUCGGGCUGCGUGGGGCUGCCUCUCAGGCCUGAAUAAGCCGAGAAACCUCCAUGCCACCCUGAGGCGGGCAGUGUGCAGACACAGUCACAGGAGCCCAAGCAGAUUGAUGGAGCCAGCAAAUCCUUUCCAGGCUUUCUUAUAAAGCUGGACAGUUUGAGCCCUCCCAGGAGGCUUUAGCCAAUUGGUUCUGUGCUCCAGGCCCUAGUACACAAUUUCUGGAAAUCAGGUCAGAAAUGGCACCUGGAUAGCUGGCCUGGCCUCAUCUAACAAGAGCUCCCAUACUGGGAGCUAAGGAAGCUCUCAGGGGGGGGCAGGGAGGAGGGGCAGGGAGGAGAGGAGGGAAGGAAGAGAGGAGGGGCAGGGAGGAGAGAAAGGGAGGAGAGGAGGCGCAGGGAGGAGAGAAAGGGAGGAGAGGAGGGAAGGAAGGGUGGGCAGGGAGGAGAGGAGGGAAGGAAGAGAGGAGAGGCAGGGAGGAGGGGCAGGGAGGAG